rnacentral:rRNA from 1 species
GACGAACGCUGGCGGCGGGCUUAACACAUGCAAGUCGAACGGAAAGGCCCUGCUUUUGUGGGGUGCUCGAGUGGCGAACGGGUGAGUAACACGUGAGUAACCUGCCCUUGACUUUGGGAUAACUUCAGGAAACUGGGGCUAAUACCGGAUAGGAGCUCCUGCUGCAUGGUGGGGGUUGGAAAGUUUCGGCGGUUGGGGAUGGACUCGCGGCUUAUCAGCUUGUUGGUGGGGUAGUGGCUUACCAAGGCUUUGACGGGUAGCCGGCCUGGGAGGGUGACCGGCCACAUUGGGACUGAGAUACGGCCCAGACUCCUACGGGAGGCAGCAGUGGGGAAUAUUGCACAAUGGGCGGAAGCCUGAUGCAGCAACGCCGCGUGCGGGAUGACGGCAUUCGGGUUGUAAACCGCUUUCGCCUGUGACGAAGCGUGAGUGACGGUAAUGGGUAAAGAAGCACCGGCUAACUACGUG